CCUACGGGAGGCAGCAGUGGGGAAUAUUGCACAAUGGGGGGAACCCUGAUGCAGCGACGCCGCGUGAGUGAAGAAGUAUCUCGGUAUGUAAAGCUCUAUUAGUAGGGAAGUAAAUGACGUUACCUGACUAAGAAGCCCCGGCUAACUACGUGCCAGCUGCCGCGGUAAUACGGCGGGGGCCAGAGUUAUCCGGAUUUACCGGGUGUAAAGGGAGUGUAGACGGUUAUGCAAGUCUGAGGUGAAAGUCCGAGGCUCAACCAUGGGACUGCAUUUGAAACUGUAAAACUAGAGUUCAGGAGAGGUAGGCGGAAUGCCUAGUGUAGCGGGGAAAUGCGUAGAUAUUAGGAAGAACACCGAUGGCGAAGGCAGCUUACUGGACUGUAACUGACGUUGAGGCUCGAAAGCGUGGGGAGCAAACAGGAUUAGAUACCCUUGUAGUC
rnacentral:rRNA from 1 species